rnacentral:rRNA from 1 species
GAUGAACGCUGGCGGCGUGCCUAAUACAUGCAAGUCGAGCGAACGGACUAGAAGCUUGCUUCUCUGAUGUUAGCGGCGGACGGGUGAGUAACACGUGGAUAACCUACCUAUAAGACUGGGAUAACUUCGGGAAACCGGAGCUAAUACCGGAUAAUAUUUUGAACCGCAUGGUUCAAAAGUGAAAGACGGUCUUGCUGUCACUUAUAGAUGGAUCCGCGCUGCAUUAGCUAGUUGGUAAGGUAACGGCUUACCAAGGCAACGAUGCAUAGCCGACCUGAGAGGGUGAACGGCCACACUGGAACUGAGACACGGUCCAGACUCCUACGGGAGGCAGCAGUAGGGAAUCUUCCGCAAUGGGCGAAAGCCUGACGGAGCAACGCCGCGUGAGUGAUGAAGGUCUUCGGAUCGUAAAACUCUGUUAUUAGGGAAGAACAUAUGUGUAAGUAACUGUGCACAUCUUGACGGUACCUAAUCAGAAAGCCACGGCUAACUACGUG